rnacentral:rRNA from 1 species
GACGAACGCUGGCGGCGUGCUUAACACAUGCAAGUCGAGCGGUAAGGCCCUUUCGGGGGUACACGAGCGGCGAACGGGUGAGUAACACGUGGGUGACCUGCCCUCAGCUCUGGGAUAAGCCUGGGAAACUGGGUCUAAUACUGGAUAUGACUCCACGGUGCAUGUCGUGGGGUGGAAAGCCUUGUGCGGCUGAGGAUGGGCCCGCGGCCUAUCAGCUUGUUGGUGGGGUGANGGCCUACCAAGGCGACGACGGGUAGCCGGCCUGAGAGGGCGACCGGCCACACUGGGACUGAGACACGGCCCAGACUCCUACGGGAGGCAGCAGGUGGGGAAUCUUGCGCAAUGGGCGAAAGCCUGACGCAGCGACGCCGCGUGAGGGAUGACGGCC